UAAUGUCUCAAUUAUGAUAGAUAUAUACUGAUUGUGUGGUGUUUAUUAAAGCAAAAAUUAUGUAAAAAUUUAGGUAUUAUUAUUUAUGCAUUUACAGUCAUUUUAGAUUGGUAAUUUUUGUUGUGUGUUCAUGUUUAUAUACAGUAUAUAUGCUACACUACACUUUAUUAAAUUCCUGUUUAUUUUUAAUUUAUUCAUUUAAAAAAAUGACUUUUUCAGGCAUCAGAUAACAAAGGUAAAAAACAGAAAAGAAAUAAGGUGGAUUGUUUAGCAGAAAAAGCAAAAGUUUUGAGAGAGACAAAAAUAAUUCCUCAGCUAAUCUUUGCUAUAGAACAAUAUGAACGUCAUUUAAUCCAACUGUCUAAGAAAUCAAAAGUUAAUUUGAUGGAGCACAUUAAAUUAGCCACUUCUCGUGAUUUUCGUAUUAAUAUCGAAACGGUACAAGCUGCACUAGAAAAUGAAUCUCAGAGCGACAAUUCUGAGGAUUUAGAAAAUACAGAUCCCGACAAACAGACUGGAGAAAAUUGUUCUUCGGAAUCGGCAUCAUCAAAAAAUAAGAGAAAGAAAACUACAAAAAAAGUAGUAAUAUUCUGAAAACAUUUAUUGUAAUAUUUUUUUACA